GCGAGAUACUGAUGAAGAUGGACGUCGACUAACUACGCACCCACGGUCUGUCCCCCAUGCGGGCGUCACGAUCGCUGAGAACAUAAGUCUAUCGAGCGGGAUUGUGAUAUUGACACAAGACGACAUUCACGAAGACGCAUUGAAUUCAGAUAAUCUGAGAAAAACCGGAUCCUCGUCUACGUGUGGUAGUGACCGCAGACUUACGCUGAUUAUCACCAUUGCUGUUAUGGGCGGUGCACUUCUCAUUACAACAAUCACGAGCGUGGUCGGUUGCUUGAAGCAGAAAUCCGUCGCUGCUGCGUAAAGGUCUAAAUCAACACCGGUGCGCUAUUUCGAUCGUACCACACCAUGCACCUUCGGUUCCACCACCGUGGUUGAUGGAGAUGCUGGAUGCUGCUUGAUUCGACACGACUUCUCCAAGUCGUCCAACUGAUGAAGGGUGCAGUAGUUGGUCAAAUCGGCACGCGACUGCUGUAUACCAAUUGCGCAACUCGUCAAAUAAUCAAAUGGAAACAGUUGAUGAAUUCACCAACUGUACAACCAACGCGCGACGAUCGGUGAACGAUGCAGCUAAAUCCAAGUAAUAUUACACCCCAAUUGGCUCACCGUAUACUCAUUGUUACUAUAUAACAUAAGAACGUAUUAAAAAAAAAACACUAAAUAUAAUAGCCAAAAUAGUUCAACCGAUUCCGUGACGAACAUUAAUAAUGCUUUGCGCAUAUUGCCACAGGAAGCAUCCACGCGUACUGUUGUUGUCAAGAUGUCAUAACACGUUUGAUAUACAGGUCCUUAUAAUUAUGCCAUAUUUUUCGAAACGCAAUAAUAUUCUAAUGAACAUUAUCAGGAGUGAAUAGUAACACAUAUAAUCUGUAAGAGAUCAAUC